rnacentral:rRNA from 1 species
UAUUGGUCAAUGGACGCAAGUCUGAACCAGCCAUGCCGCGUGCAGGAAGACGGCUCUCUGAGUUGUAAACUGCUUUUGUACUAGGGUAAACGCUUCUACGUGUAGGAGACUGAAGGUAUAGUACGAAUAAGGAUCGGCUAACUCCGUGCCAGCAGCCUCGGUAAUACGGAGGAUCCAAGCGUUAUCCGGAUUUACUGGGUUUAAAGGGUGCUUAGGCGGUUUGAUAAGUUAGAGGUGAAAUACCGGGGCUCAACUCCGGAACUGCCUCUAAUACUGUUGAACUAGAGAGUAGUUGCGGUAGGCGGAAUGUAUGGUGUAGCGGUGAAAUGCUUAGAGAUCAUACAGAACACCGAUUGCGAAGGCAGCUUACCAAACUAUAUCUGACGUUGAGGCACGAAAGCGUGGGGAGCAAACAGG